rnacentral:rRNA from 1 species
AUUGAACGCUGGCGGCAGGCCUAACACAUGCAAGUCGAGCGGAUGAGGAGCUUGCUUCUUGAUUCAGCGGCGGACGGGUGAGUAAUGCCUAGGAAUCUGCCUGGUAGUGGGGGACAACGUUUCGAAAGGAACGCUAAUACCGCAUACGUCCUACGGGAGAAAGCAGGGGACCUUCGGGCCUUGCGCUAUCAGAUGAGCCUAGGUCGGAUUAGCUAGUUGGUGAGGUAAUGGCUCACCAAGGCGACGAUCCGUAACUGGUCUGAGAGGAUGAUCAGUCACACUGGAACUGAGACACGGUCCAGACUCCUACGGGAGGCAGCAGUGGGGAAUAUUGGACAAUGGGCGAAAGCCUGAUCCAGCCAUGCCGCGUGUGUGAAGAAGGUCUUCGGAUUGUAAAGCACUUUAAGUUGGGAGGAAGGGUUGUACGUUAAUACCGUGCAAUUUUGACGUUACCGACAGAAUAAGCACCGGCUAACUCUGUGCCAGCCGCCGCGGUAA